rnacentral:rRNA from 1 species
GGGUCUCCGUUGGUGAACCGGGGAGGAUCAUUACCGAGUUUACAACUCCCAAACCCCUGUGAACAUACCUUUAUGUUGCCUCGGCGGAUCAGCCCGCGCCCCGUAAAACGGGACGGCCCGCCGCAGGAACCACAAAACUCUGAUUUUAGUGUAACUUCUGAGUCUAAAAAACAAAUAAAUCAAAACUUUCAACAACGGAUCUCUUGGUUCUGGCAUCGAUGAAGAACGCAGCAAAAUGCGAUAAGUAAUGUGAAUUGCAGAAUUCAGUGAAUCAUCGAAUCUUUGAACGCACAUUGCGCCCGCCAGUAUUCUGGCGGGCAUGCCUGUUCGAGCGUCAUUUCAACCCUCAAGCCCCCGGGUUUGGUGUUGGGGAUCGGGCUGUACUCCAGCCCGGCCCCGAAAUCUAGUGGCGGUCUCGCUGCAGCCUCCAUUGCGUAGUAGCUAACACCUCGCAACUGGAACGCGGCGCGGCCAAGCCGUUAAACCCCCAACUUCUGAAUGUUGACCUCGGAUCAGGUAGGAAUACCCGCUGAACUUAAGCAUAUCAAUAAGGGGGAGGAA